rnacentral:misc_RNA from 1 species
CAUCACUCCAAUACUGCUACCACUCCAUGAAGGGCUCCGCAGACUAUGGUUAAACUCAUCAAACUCAUUAGAUUCUUGAGUACUUGUUUGUAAGGGCCCUUUCCCAUCAUUUCUCCUUCUACCAGAUCCUUCCGACUGACGGCGGUUCCAAGGGGGCGGUGUCGGUGUCGGAACAACAGUGGAUACAGACAAGUCCUCAUCGGACAGCUUAGGCGGUUUCACUCCAGUGCGUACAAAUUGUGCAAGUGCCUCCACUCCAUGCUCAG